rnacentral:rRNA from 1 species
GACGAACGCUGGCGGCGUGCCUAAUACAUGCAAGUAGAACGCUGAAGGGGGAGCUUGCUUCUCCGGAUGAGUUGCGAACGGGUGAGUAACGCGUAGGUAACCUGCCUGGUAGCGGGGGAUAACUAUUGGAAACGAUAGCUAAUACCGCAUAAUAGUAGAUGUUGCAUGACAUUUGCUUAAAAGGUGCAAUUGCACCACUACCAGAUGGACCUGCGUUGUAUUAGCUAGUUGGUGGGGUAACGGCUCACCAAGGCGACGAUACAUAGCCGACCUGAGAGGGUGAUCGGCCACACUGGGACUGAGACACGGCCCAGACUCCUACGGGAGGCAGCAGUAGGGAAUCUUCGGCAAUGGACGGAAGUCUGACCGAGCAACGCCGCGUGAGUGAAGAAGGUUUUCGGAUCGUAAAGCUCUGUUGUAAGAGAAGAACGAGUGUGAGAGUGGAAAGUUCACACUGUGACGGUAUCUUACCAGAAAGGGACGGCUAACUACGU